rnacentral:lncRNA from 1 species
CGAUGCUUUUGCAGAUGUCUUAACAGGUACAGUACUUCGUUCCAACCCCAAAUUCACUAACUCUUUACACUCAUCCUGCAGCAACCGUUGUAAUUCCCUGGAUACACUCUUCUUCUGCGGUUGAUCAACAACCUGUCUCUUGGUGAAAAUUCUUAUCUUGGAACUGGAGCUGAAAUGUGUAUAUCCAAGAUUUUCUUCAGUUUCUGAUGGUUGCAUUCGUGAAGAGCCCUGAAGCAUAAUGUGAUACACAUCAGUAUAUUGUGUCUUGAGACUCAUUUGUCGAUUUAAAUGCUUCAUAAUUUUAUUUCUUCGUAUUUUUUGUUU